GGCGAACGCUGGCGGCGUGCCUAAUACAUGCAAGUCGAACGCACUCUCGUUUAGAUUGAAGGAGCUUGCUCCUGAUUGAUAAACAUUUGAGUGAGUGGCGGACGGGUGAGUAACACGUGGGUAACCUGCCCUAAAGUGGGGGAUAACAUUUGGAAACAGAUGCUAAUACCGCAUAAAACCUAACACCGCAUGGUGUAGGGUUGAAAGAUGGUUUCGGCUAUCACUUUAGGAUGGACCCGCGGUGCAUUAGUUAGUUGGUGAGGUAAAGGCUCACCAAGACCGUGAUGCAUAGCCGACCUGAGAGGGUAAUCGGCCACACUGGGACUGAGACACGGCCCAGACUCCUACGGGAGGCAGCAGUAGGGAAUCUUCCACAAUGGACGAAAGUCUGAUGGAGCAACGCGCGUGAGUGAAGAAGGUUUUCGGAUCGUAAAACUCUGUUGUUGGAGAAGAAUGUAAUCUGAUAGUAAACUGAUCAGGUAGUGA
rnacentral:rRNA from 1 species